UAACGGCCACCAAGGCGACGAUCCAUAGCCGGCCUGAGAGGUGACGGCCACAUUGGGACUGAGACACGGCCCAGACUCCUACGGGAGGCAGCAUG
rnacentral:rRNA from 1 species